rnacentral:rRNA from 1 species
GGCUUAACACAUGCAAGUCGAGGGGCAUCAGGAAGAAAGCUUGCUUUCUUUGCUGGCGACCGGCGCACGGGUGAGUAACACGUAUCCAACCUGCCCUUUACUCGGGGAUAGCCUUUCGAAAGAAAGAUUAAUACCCGAUAGCAUAAUGAUUCCGCAUGGUUUCAUUAUUAAAGGAUUCCGGUAAAGGAUGGGGAUGCGUUCCAUUAGGUUGUUGGUGAGGUAACGGCCCACCAAGCCUUCGAUGGAUAGGGGUUCUGAGAGGAAGGUCCCCCACAUUGGAACUGAGACACGGUCCAAACUCCUACGGGAGGCAGCAGUGAGGAAUAUUGGUCAAUGGGCGCUAGCCUGAACCAGCCAAGUAGCGUGAAGGAUGAAGGCUCUAUGGGUCGUAAACUUCUUUUAUAUAAGAAUAAAGUGCAGUAUGUAUACUGUUUUGUAUGUAUUAUAUGAAUAAGGAUCGGCUAACUCCGUGCCAGCAGCCGCGGUAAUACGGAGGAUCCGAGCGUUAUCCGGAUUUAUUGGGUUUAAAGGGAGCGUAGGUGGACUGGUAAGUCAGUUGUGAAAGUUUGCGGCUCAACCGUAAAAUUGCAGUUGAUACUGUCAGUCUUGAGUACAGUAGAGGUGGGCGGAAUUCGUGGUGUAGCGGUGAAAUGCUUAGAUAUCACGAAGAACUCCGAUUGCGAAGGCAGCUCACUGGACUGCAACUGACACUGAUGCUCGAAAGUGUGGGUAUCAAACAGGAUUAGAUACCCUGGUAGUCCACACAGUAAACGAUGAAUACUCGCUGUUUGCGAUAUACAGUAAGCGGCCAAGCGAAAGCAUUAAGUAUUCCACCUGGGGAGUACGCCGGCAACGGUGAAACUCAAAGGAAUUGACGGGGGCCCGCACAAGCGGAGGAACAUGUGGUUUAAUUCGAUGAUACGCGAGGAACCUUACCCGGGCUUAAAUUGCAGUGGAAUGAUGUGGAAACAUGUCAGUGAGCAAUCACCGCUGUGAAGGUGCUGCAUGGUUGUCGUCAGCUCGUGCCGUGAGGUGUCGGCUUAAGUGCCAUAACGAGCGCAACCCUUAUCUUUAGUUACUAACAGGUUAUGCUGAGGACUCUAGAGAGACUGCCGUCGUAAGAUGUGAGGAAGGUGGGGAUGACGUCAAAUCAGCACGGCCCUUACGUCCGGGGCUACACACGUGUUACAAUGGGGGGUACAGAAGGCAGCUAGCGGGUGACCGUAUGCUAAUCCCAAAAUCCUCUCUCAGUUCGGAUCGAAGUCUGCAACCCGACUUCGUGAAGCUGGAUUCGCUAGUAAUCGCGCAUCAGCCACGGCGCGGUGAAUACGUUCCCGGGCCUUGUACACACCGCCCGUCAAGCCAUGGGAGCCGGGGGUACCUGAAGUACGUAACCGCAAGGAUCGUCCUAGGGUAAAACUGGUGACUGGGGCUAAGU